CCGACUGGAUGAGCAGCGAACGGGUGAGUAACGCGUGGGGAAUCUGCCUUUGAGCGGGGGACAACAUUUGGAAACGAAUGCUAAUACCGCAUAACAACUUUAAACACAAGUUUUAAGUUUGAAAGAUGCAAUUGCAUCACUCAAAGAUGAUCCCGCGUUGUAUUAGCUAGUUGGUGAGGUAAAGGCUCACCAAGGCGAUGAUACAUAGCCGACCUGAGAGGGUGAUCGGCCACAUUGGGACUGAGACACGGCCCAAACUCCUACGGGAGGCAGCAGUAGGGAAUCUUCGGCAAUGGACGAAAGUCUGACCGAGCAACGCCGCGUGAGUGAAGAAGGUUUUCGGAUCGUAAAACUCUGUUGGUAGAGAAGAACGUUGGUGAGAGUGGAAAGCUCAUCAAGUGACGGUAACUACCCAGAAAGGGACGGCUAACUACGUGCCAGCAGCCGCGGUAAUACGUAGGUCCCGAGCGUUGUCCGGAUUUAUUGGGCGUAAAGCGAGCGCAGGUGGUUUAUUAAGUCUGGUGUAAAAGGCAGUGGCUCAACCAUUGUAUGCAUUGGAAACUGGUAGACUUGAGUGCAGGAGAGGAGAGUGGAAUUCCAUGUGUAGCGGUGAAAUGCGUAGAUAUAUGGAGGAACACCGGUGGCGAAAGCGGCUCUCUGGCCUGUAACUCACACUGAGGCUCGAAAGCGUGGGGAGCAAACAGGAUUAGAUACCCUGGUAGUCCACGCCGUAAACCAUAAGGCUAGAUGUAGGGAGCUAUAAGUUCUCUGUAUCGCAGCUAACGCAAUAAGCAU
rnacentral:rRNA from 1 species